GCCUACGGGACGCAGCAGUAGGGAAUCUUCCACAAUGGGCGAAAGCCCGAUGGAGCAACGCCGCGUGGGUGAAGAAGGUCUUCGGAUCGUAAAACCCUGUUGUUAGAGAAGAAAGUGCGUGAGAGUAACUGUUCACGUUUCGACGGUAUCUAACCAGAAAGCCACGGCUAACUACGUGCCAGCAGCCGCGGUAAUACGUAGGUGGCAAGCGUUAUCCGGAUUUAUUGGGCGUAAAGCGAACGCAGGCGGUCUUUUAAGUCUUAUGUGAAAGCCUUCGGCUUAACCGGAGUAGUGCAUUGGACACU
rnacentral:rRNA from 1 species